GCGGGCUUAGCUCAGUUGGUUAGAGCGCCAGAUUGUGGCCCUGGAGGUCGUGAGUUCGAUUCUCUCAGCCCGCCCCA
rnacentral:tRNA from 1 species